GUGAGGCUGCGGGGACUCGCUGAGCAGCGGAGGGGGAGCGUGCAGAGCCGCUGCGGCCCUCACAGUCCGGAGCCCGGCCGUGCCGUGCCGUAGGGAACAUGCACUUUUCCAUUCCCGAAACCGAGUCCCGCAGCGGGGACAGCGGCGGCUCCGCCUACGUGGCCUAUAACAUUCACGUGAAUGGAGUCCUGCACUGUCGGGUGCGCUACAGCCAGCUCCUGGGGCUGCACGAGCAGCUUCGGAAGGAGUAUGGGGCCAAUGUGCUUCCUGCAUUCCCCCCAAAGAAGCUUUUCUCUCUGACUCCUGCUGAGGUAGAACAGAGGAGAGAGCAGUUAGAGAAGUACAUGCAAGCUGGUGAGUGGUUGCAGGAAACUAGGUUGACUAUAUUGAGGACUAUGGGGAGAGACUUAAAAACAGCUGGUUCUGUGGAAGGGCCUGAUUUAAUUUCUAGAUCUAGGAAGGCUCUUGUUUGAUCUGUUGUGCAGUUAGCAAAGUAAAUAGUCUACGAGGAUGUGUAACUCUGUGUACUAGCAAAACAAUUUGGGCACUAACAUCUAUGAGAAAUACUAGUAUAACACUAGUCUUAAUAUCAGUGGAGAGAACUUAAUUUGUAUCUGAUGUGCUUUAGAUUAACAUCAUUGUUAUUUCCCUAGUUCUAUAGACUGGACUCACCUAGAUGGCAGCCAAGGGUGGGGCAGGUGAAGAAUUUAUGCAAACAGUGAGUGAGGUGAGGCCAGCUGGGG
rnacentral:sRNA from 1 species